rnacentral:rRNA from 1 species
AUGAGUCUCGAGUAUCAGAUGUUGGGCAAGUGCGACAAGGUUAUUGUAUCCAAUGAUAACUGCGUCAUCCUGGCUGGAGCUGGAGACGAAGAGUCCAUUAAAAACAAAACUCAGGAGCUGAAAAAUGUGACCGAACUAAGCACUUCUUACCACCACGAUGAAAAGACGCUGGUAAAGCUUUACCGUCGUGCUGUUAUUAUGAAGGUUGGUGGAGCAAGCAAAGAAAAGGUUGUCGAAAAUAGGGAGAUGGUGGCAGAUGCGCUGAGCAGUACACGGGCUGCAAUCAAGGAGGGUAUUGUCGCAGGUGAUGGUGCUGCCCUCCUUUAUGCAUCAAAAUUCCUAGAUAACUUGCAUACUGCUAAUAUUGGACAACAAAGGGGUGUUCAGAUUGUUCAAAAUGCGCUUAAGACUCCUGUGUACGACAUGGCCUCCAUUGCUGGCAAACCAGGGGACGUCAUUGUUCAGAAACUCCUAGAGCAGGAUAACAGUGAUCUGAUAUACGAUGCCACUCAAGGUGAAUACGUGGACAUGGUGAAGGCGUCUUGCAUUGAUACGGUCGGAACGGUCAAAAGAGCCAUGAUGGAUGUCAAAGGAGAAGCAUGCUUAAUGAUAUCCACGCACGCAUCAGUCUUGAGCCCUUGA